rnacentral:rRNA from 1 species
ACUACGGGAGGCAGCAGUGAGGAAUAUUGGUCAAUGGGCGCGAGCCUGAACCAGCCAAGUAGCGUGAAGGAUGACUGCCCUACGGGUUGUAAACUUCUUUUAUAAAGGAAUAAAGUGAGGCACGUGUGCCUUUUUGUAUGUACUUUAUGAAUAAGGAUCGGCUAACUCCGUGCCAGCAGCCGCGGUAAUACGGAGGAUCCGAGCGUUAUCCGGAUUUAGUGGGUUUAAAGGGAGCGUAGAUGGGUUGUUAAGUCAGUUGUGAAGGUUUGCGGCUCAACCGUAAAAUUGCAAUUGAUACUGGCAGCCUUGAGUACAGUUGAGGUAGGCGGAAUUCGUGGUGUAGCGGUGAAAUGCUUAGAUAUCACGAAGAACCCCGAUUGCGAAGGCAGCCUGCCGGGGUGCGACUGACGCUGAGGCUCGAAGGUGCGGGUAUCAAACAGGAUUAGAUACCCGAGUAGUC